GGAGCACGAACACUACCAUGAACUGCACAUAGACAGGACCCAGGCUGAGCCUCUAACGCCUGACGAUCGGAGGCAGAGAUGUAAUGUGCUGGAAUCAUCCCGAAAUCAUCUUCCCACGCCCAGACCGUGGAGGGUAGGGAAGAUGAGACCAGACCCUGGCAGCGCAAAGGCUGGGAACUCCUGUUGCUGCGGUUGUGAUGAUACUUUUAUCGCACACAGCCAUCUGCUUCAAGGCACUAUCUCCUCUUUUCCAUUAAAGUAUGAGGUAGAAAAUUGUGUUGACAGUAAAUGAGAGCAGCAAGCUCCAGCUUCCCAGCAAUCGCCCUCUCUGUUCCUCUCCAUGUGCUGCUGGCUGAACCCGUCCACUUCUCCUGCAACCACCACCACCUCCAUUCUCACCCCGACUCGAGUCAUCUCUCACCCUCACUGAGGCUGGAGCCUCCUAGCAUGUCUACCUAACUUCCCAUUGAUAGCCUUCUAGUUUAUUCUUAGCGCUGUCUCCAAGACAAUCUGCAUGAAAUGAUCACACUACUCCAGUCCAGAAAAAGUCAGGGUGUCUUUCUGUUUCUCUCAAGUUAAAGACAAAGCUACCCCCUGCGGCCUGUAAUCCACAACAGAGGGUCCUUACCCACCUCUUCAGGUGCAGCUCCUAUGUCAAACUCCCAGCCCUGCAAGCCUCCUCUGACAUGUCAUUUCUAUGCAUUGCUCCAAGUACCUUCACCUCCUCUGGGAAGUUUCUCCUCUACAUCAAAUCCCCCAGUUACAUAUGCUCAAAGUCUCCACAAGGCUCUCUUCUCAACAUUUGCCAUAAUUCAAUGUCACAUAUUGUUCACAAUUAUUUAAUGCAUAGCUCUCUAUCCUCCUUGCAGAUUGGAAGCUCUAUGAACCAGAUGCCAUAUUAAUUUUUUAUACCAUUUUCUUUCCAAUAUUUAACACAAUACCUGACACUUAAUAUUCCAGAUUGAUUAAAGAUCUGCAAUUGCUCAUCUGCCUAAAAAAAAAGUUGAAUGAUGAUUUCAUUUUUUAUGGUUUUUUUUUUUUUUUCUUAUUUAAAAGAGAUGCCUAUAGCAUUGAACACAGCUUGUACUUGAACACAGCUAUUCUUUUUUGUGUUAAGGAAGUUUUCUCCAAUUCCCAAAUCGGGCCACACAGGUGCAAGUUGGAGCUCCCGCCCAGGUCAGUCCCAGGCCUCUUAUUUGUCCCCAGUCCUAUCCUACCCAUAGUGCUUUGCUUCUGACACUCAUCACUCUGUGGGCAGUGUGCUAUUGCCAAGCCCUUUUUGCCAUUCGUCUGUCAUUUUCUGCCAAUCAUAGUCUCUAACCAGAUAUUGAGGGCAAGCGUCUCUUGAGGGGAGUAGAUAGAAGUAACGCUCCUCCUUUUUAAGUGGGCCACCUCACAAAAGCACAUCAGGAUAACAUCUGGGGGCUGUUGGUGUGAGACUUUCUAGGAGGAUCAUAGUUCCCCACCUUCAUUCCAGGAUGCUGUGCUCUCUCUCAAGUCAUGAAACAUUUGCCAAUUACAAAGCAUGAGUCUCCGCUUCUCUCACUAGUAAGCAGUGGAUGGAAUUGCUUCCAGAGCCUCACAAGAGUUCAACUGUCUUCUUCUUAAUGUGAGGUCAUGAGAGUUUAUGUCGGGUACUUUUGAUGCAGAAGUUGUUGAGUGAUUUCAAUAACGAUGACUGCCUUCCUAUAAUAAAGGGAGGCAGAAACAGAGAUUGACUCUCAACCAAUAGAUGUUCUCCUAUCAGUAGGCCCUGAUGAGGGAAAAAGAGAGAGAAUGACAUGUCUAGAGACCUGGAACUUAACCAUGGGAAAGGAGGAAAAAUGAGAAAUGCAUUACAAACAGCUAUCACACUCCGAGACUCGAAUUCGGGGACUGAGCUAUGAUUGAAAUUUCUCUGUUUCCUAGGACUCGUCAGCUGCUCAAUUAUGA